GAUGAACUCUGGCGGCGUGCCUAAUACAUGCAAGUCGAGCGAACGGACGAGAAGCUUGCUUCUCUGAUGUUAGCGGCGGACGGGUGAGUAACACGUGGAUAACCUACCUAUAAGACUGGGAUAACUUCGGGAAACCGUAGCUAAUACCGGAUAAUAUUUUGAACCGCAUGGUUCAAAAGUGAAAGACGGUCUUGCUGUCACUUAUAGAUGGAUCCGCGCUGCAUUAGCUAGUUGGUAAGGUAACGGCUUACCAAGGCAACGAUGCAUAGCCGACCUGAGAGGGUGAUCGGCCACACUGGAACUGAGACACGGUCCAGACUCCUACGGGAGGCAGCAGUAGGGAAUCUUCCGCAAUGGGCGAAAGCCUGACGGAGCAACGCCGCGUGAGUGAUGAAGGUCUUCGGAUCGUAAAACUCUGUUAUUAGGGAAGAACAUAUGUGUAAGUAACUGUGCACAUCUUGACGGUACCUAAUCAGAAAGCCACGGCUAACUACGUG
rnacentral:rRNA from 1 species